rnacentral:rRNA from 1 species
UACGAAGGGGGCUAGCGUUGCUCGGAAUCACUGGGCGUAAAGCGCACGUAGGCGGGUAUUUAAGUCAGGGGUGAAAUCCCAGAGCUCAACUCUGGAACUGCCUUUGAUACUGGGUACCUAGAGUGUGGAAGAGGUGAGUGGAAUUCCGAGUGUAGAGGUGAAAUUCGUAGAUAUUCGGAGGAACACCAGUGGCGAAGGCGGCUCACUGGUCCACUACUGACGCUGAGGUGCGAAAGCGUGGGGAGCAAACAGG